GGAAGGGUUCGCUAGGGGCCAAGCGGCCGGUUUGCUAAACCGGUGGGCGCCCUCAAAGGCGCCUCGCGGGUUCGAAUCCCGCCCCUUCCGCCA
rnacentral:tRNA from 1 species